ACGGCCAUAUCUCGUUGAAAAACCGGUUCCGUACGAUCACCAAAGUUAAGCAACGUCGAGUCUGUUCAGUACCUAGAUGGGUGACCACUUUGGAAUACCAGUUGCU